UACGAAGGGGCUAGCGUUGCUCGGAAUCACUGGGCGUAAAGCGCACGUAGGCGGCUUGUUAAGUCAGGGGUGAAAUCCUGGAGCUCAACUCCAGAACUGCCUUUGAUACUGGCGAGCUUGAGUUCGGGAGAGGUGAGUGGAACUGCGAGUGUAGAGGUGAAAUUCGUAGAUAUUCGCAAGAACACCAGUGGCGAAGGCGGCUCACUGGCCCGGUACUGACGCUGAGGCACGAAAGCGUGGGGAGCGAACAGG
rnacentral:rRNA from 1 species